rnacentral:rRNA from 1 species
CAUGCAGUCGAACGCACAGCGAAAGGUGCUUGCACCUUUCAAGUGAGUGGCGAACGGGUGAGUAACACGUGGACAACCUGCCUCAAGGCUGGGGAUAACAUUUGGAAACAGAUGCUAAUACCGAAUAAAACUUAGUGUCGCAUGACACAAAGUUAAAAGGCGCUUCGGCGUCACCUAGAGAUGGAUCCGCGGUGCAUUAGUUAGUUGGUGGGGUAAAGGCCUACCAAGACAAUGAUGCAUAGCCGAGUUGAGAGACUGAUCGGCCACAUUGGGACUGAGACACGGCCCAAACUCCUACGGGAGGCUGCAGUAGGGAAUCUUCCACAAUGGGCGAAAGCCUGAUGGAGCAACGCCGCGUGUGUGAUGAAGGCUUUCGGGUCGUAAAGCACUGUUGUAUGGGAAGAACAGCUAGAAUAGGAAAUGAUUUUAGUUUGACGGUACCAUACCAGAAAGGGACGGCUAAAUACGUGCCAGCAGCCGCGGUAAUACGUAUGUCCCGAGCGUUAUCCGGAUUUAUUGGGCGUAAAGCGAGCGCAGACGGUUUAUUAAGUCUGAUGUGAAAGCCCGGAGCUCAACUCCGGAAUGGCAUUGGAAACUGGUUAACUUGAGUGCAGUAGAGGUAAGUGGAACUCCAUGUGUAGCGGUGGAAUGCGUAGAUAUAUGGAAGAACACCAGUGGCGAAGGCGGCUUACUGGACUGCAACUGACGUUGAGGCUCGAAAGUGUGGGUAGCAAACAGGAUUAGAUACCCUGGUAGUCCACACCGUAAACGAUGAACACUAGGUGUUAGGAGGUUUCCGCCUCUUAGUGCCGAAGCUAACGCAUUAAGUGUUCCGCCUGGGGAGUACGACCGCAAGGUGA